UUAAACACUUCAUUAUACUAUUUACACUUGAUCUUGAGCAAGUUCAAUGAGUAUAGAGCUUGUCAUACUCUUAAAAUUUAAAUUUGGAAUUUUGUGAUUCCAGCGGAGCUGAAGAGGGUAAAUUUCGGUGAGGAUAAAUUUCAACGAAAGAAAUCUGUUAUCUGCGUCAUAUUUGCGUAACAUCAGACACAACGUAUCUCGAAGCGAAGUCUUAUUGUUCUCUGUGGGUCGUGUAGGAAAGUGCAUUCCCCGAUAUUUUAUAGUUCAGCAGCGGUUACGUAUCUGGUUCGCGGGCGCGACUGUACAUGUGUUCCUUACGUGUAAUUGAAUCCAUUUACUGGUUUUUUGGAAAAGAAAACAGAGGACGAUCAACAUUCCAAGCCUCUUUCUCGAGUGGAAUUAACAUUCACGCGUACGUCUCGAUAUAUGUUAAAAUAAGUGCAUACUACGGAUUUAUUAUCAGACAGCGCAGAGGCACAGACGUGUGUAAAUCGUUAGCCUUCAACGUCGGGAUUUAUCAAACAACAGUGUCGAUGGUACGGCAAUGCAUACAUCCUUGUCGAGUAUGUGAUUGCCAAACAAGAGCUACUCGUUUAGAUAUGAAUCUCUGGCCAUGCUGUUAAGAUCGUCGACGUACUCUGGAAGAGUGAAUUCAAUCAUAAAUUGCUGAGAAUCUGAUAUUAACGAAAAUAAUACAAAUUAAAGAUAUAUAUACAUAGAUAUUUCUUGUGGUAGUGGAACGCUAACCUUACAAGUGUACUUGCAUAUCGACCUGAUCACAUCUGCACGAGAGGAGCU